AUUGAACGCUGGCGGCAGGCCUAACACAUGCAAGUCGAGCGAGCGGCGGACGGGUGAGUAAUGUAUGGGGACUGCCCGAUAGAGGGGGAUAACUACUGGAAACGGUGGCUAAUACCGCAUACUAUCGGAUAACCCAUAUGGGAUUAGCGAGUAGGGGGGGUAAAGGCUCACCUAGGCGACGAUCCCUAGCUGGUCUGAGAGGAUGAUCAGCAACCCUGGAACGGAGACACGGCCCAGACUCCUACGGAGGCAGCAUUGGGGAAUAUUGCCCAAUGGGCGCAAGCCUGAUGCAGCCAUGCCGCGUGUAUUAAGAAGGCCUUCGGGUUGUAAAGUACUUUCAGCGGGGAGGCGUUACCCGCAGAAGAAGCACCGGCUAACUCCGUGCCAGCCGCCGCGGUAAUUC
rnacentral:rRNA from 1 species